rnacentral:rRNA from 1 species
UACGUAGGGUGCAAGCGUUGUCCGGAAUUAUUGGGCGUAAAGAGCUCGUAGGCGGUCUGUUGCGUCGGCUGUGAAAACCCGGGGCUCAACUCCGGGCCUGCAGCCGAUACGGGCAGACUAGAGUUCGGCAGGGGAGACUGGAAUUCCAGGUGUAGCGGUGAAAUGCGUAGAUAUCUGGAGGAACACCGGUGGCGAAGGCGGCAUCCUGGACCGGUAUUGACGCUGAGGCGCGAAAGCUAGGGGAGCAAACGGG